UACCAUGGUUUAACGGGUAACGGGGAAUUAGGGUUCGAUUCCGGAGAGGGAGCCUGAGAAACGGCUACCACAUCCAAGGAAGGCAGCAGGCGCGCAAAUUACCCAAUCCCGACACGGGGAGGUAGUGACAAUAAAUAACAAUAUGGGGCUCUUACGAGUCUUGUAAUUGGAAUGAGUACAAUUUAAAUCUCUUAACGAGGAACAAUUGGAGGGCAAGUCUGGUGCCAGCAGCCGCGGUAAUUCCAGCUCCAAUAGCGUAUAUUAAAGUUGUUGCAGUUAAAAAGCUCGUAGUUGAAUUUCGGGGUUUAUCCGUCGGUCGGGCUUUUGGGUCUGUACUGGCGUGAUGGAUUCCUACCUUCUGAAUAACCGGCAUGUCAUUAAUUUGGUGCGCCGGGGAAGCAGGACUGUUACCUUGAAAAAAUUAGAGUGCUUAAAGCAGGCUUAUGCCUGAAUACAUUAGCAUGGAAUAAUGAAAUAGGACGGCAUGGUUCUAUUUUGUUGGUUUCUAGGAUCACCGUAAUGAUUAAUAGGGAUAGUUGGGGGCAUUAGUAUUCAAUUGUCAGAGGUGAAAUCCUUGGAUUUAUUGAAGACUAACUUCUGCGAAAGCAUUUGCCAGGGAUGUUUUCAUUAAUCAAGAACGAGAGUUAGGGGAUCGAAGACGAUCAGAUACCGUCGUAGUCUUAACCAUAAACUAUGCCGACUAGGGAUCGGACGAUGUUAAUUUUUUAAUGACUCGUUCGGCGCCUUACGGGAAACCAAAGUGUUU
rnacentral:rRNA from 1 species